rfam:Corchorus olitorius cultivar O-4 contig13658, whole genome shotgun sequence.
ACAGUGGAGUUAAUAAACUCCACAAGCUGAUACUAAAAAAUGACA